rnacentral:rRNA from 1 species
GUGUAGGAUAGGUGGGAGGCGUGUGAAACCGGGACGCUAGUUCGGUGGAGCCAACCUUGAAAUACCACCUGAUUUAUUGAGGUUCAACCUUGAUCCGUGAAUCCGGAUCGGGGACCGUGCAUGGUGGCAGUUUGACUGGGGCGGUCUCCUCCCCAAAAGGUAACGGAGGAGUACGAAGGUACGCUUAGGGCGGUCGGACAUCGCCCAUAAAGUGCAAUGGCAAAAGCGUGCUUGACUGCGAGACCCACAAGUCGAGCAGGUGCGAAAGCAGGUCAUAGUGAUCCGGUGGUUCUGUAUGGAAGGGCCAUCGCUCAACGGAUAAAAGGUACUCUGGGGAUAACAGGCUGAUACCGCCCAAGAGUUCAUAUCGACGGCGGUGUUUGGCACCUCGAUGUCGGCUCAUCACAUCCUGGGGCUGUAGCCGGUCCCAAGGGUAUGGCUGUUCGCCAUUUAAAGUGGUACGUGAGCUGGGGUUUAAAACGUCGUGAGACAGUUUGGUCCCUAUCUGCCGUGGGCGCUGGAAAUUUGAAGGGGG